rnacentral:rRNA from 1 species
GACGUAGGAGGCGAGCGUUGUCCGGAUUUACUGGGCGUAAAGCGCGCGCAGGCGGUCGCGCAGGUCAUCUGUGAAAGCCCCCGGCUCAACCGGGCGGAUGCGGGUGAAACCGCGCGACUUGAGGGUGGGAGAGGUCGGUGGAAUUCCCGGUGUAGUGGUGAAAUGCGUAGAUAUCGGGAGGAACACCAGCGGCGAAGGCGGCGCUCUGGGCCGGUACUGACACUGAGGCGCGACAGCGUGGGGAGCAAACAGG